rnacentral:lncRNA from 1 species
UAUGAUUUAUUUUACAGAUACCAACAAUUGAUUCGUAUAAAAAAUAAAAUUGUCGUUAAAAAAAAAAUGACUGUUGCGCAAACAGAAAUAAAAAUGAAUAAACACAGAAACUUAAUAAACGAUUGCUAUGACUUGAAUAUAAAAAAAUACCUAGAAUUCGUUAUAAAUAAAGUGAUUGCUCAAAAGGUUGAUUACUUUUAUAUUGUAAGUAGUUAUAUAUAUAAAAUAAUAUACAAAAAGAACAGAAGAGUGUUGAGCGAUACACAUAAUAGUACAGGUGCAAGUGCGACUGCGAAUACAAAGGAACAACAUAACCAAUUUUAUAAAAACAAACGAGGUAAUAAUUAUACCAUCAUGCAAACCUUUUUCAAACCAUUACAUGUUGCUCAACAUUAUCUAUAUAGUAAUAACAACGAUUGUAAUGACAUUACUACUACGAAUAACGACUUGCUACUCUCCAAAGUGUUACAUUUUUUCGAACAAUUUUUGAAGUAUAACUUUAGCUAUAACUAUUUCAUUAAAUGUAACAGCUAUCAGAAUAAACAAAAAAAACAGAAACCAAUUAAGAACAAAAAAAUCAAUAAUGGUAUUAUAUUUUUCCUUAUGAACAGAUUUGUUACGAUGGUUGAAAAAACAAUUUUUAAAAUGUUAUUAAAUAAAAAUGUUGAAUUACUUAAUCAAACUUCCUUGGAUUAUUACAUUUUUAUAUACUUAAUUACUUUUCAAGAAAUAUCAAAUUUAAGAUAUAAAAAAAUACAUAGCAUAGUUCUUUUUUUGAGUGACAUGGUAAAAUGUUUAUAUCGUUGGAAAACUCUUAAUCAUAUUAACAUACGUUUAAUGAAUAUAUUACAAAAAAUAAAACUAGCAAUUCAAAACCAAGUGAUGAAUUCGAAAAAUAAUUAUUCAUUUUAUGAUGCGCAUUCUUUUGUACCUACUGAUGGUACUUAUUCUACAUGGUAUGACAACACCGAUUUGAGUAAACAUUCGAAAGUGGAACAAACAAAUUCUUUCUUAUUAUGUCGUUAUAAACAGGACAAAUUAGUUUUUACAGAUACACAUGUUAUUUCACAAUAUCAUAAUUCUGAUAAUAGUUUUUGUCAUACCCGUUAUAAUUAUUUAUAUGAUUAUUAUAAAUGGAUAAGCAACGUAUUUGAAGUUGUAAAUAACAUAUAUAUAAGCUACUGCUUAUACCAAAAAAACAGAAAUAGCUAUUCAUUUAUUUUAACUAAUACAUCAAAUAGUG